rnacentral:misc_RNA from 1 species
GAUGAAGAACGUAGCGAAAUGCGAUACGUAAUGUGAAUUGCAGAAUUCAGUGAAUCAUCGAAUCUUUGAACGCAUAUUGCGCUCUCUGGUAUUCCGGAGAGCAUGCUUGUUUGAGUAUCAGUAAACACCUCAACUUCCAUAUCUUUUUUGAAAUGGGAGUUGGACUUGAGUGAUCCUAACGCUUUUCCUCACCGAAAAGCGGCGGGUUACUUGAAAUGCAGGUGCAGCUGGACUUUCCUCUGAGCUAUAAGCAUAUCUAUUUAGUCUGCCUAAAAAACAGAUUAUUACCUUUGCUGCAGCUAACAUAAAGGAGAUUAGUUCUUGUGCUGACUGAUGCAGGAUUCACAAAGACAGGCUUCGGCCGACUUUGUAAACUCGAUCUCAAAUCAAGUAAGACUACCCGCUGAACUUAAGCAUAUCAAUAAGCGGAGGA